CCCCAGCAGAGUCUGCUUCUUUCUCUUCGUUCACUUGUUUGUUCGUUCAUUCCCCAGUGUUUACUGGGCCGUCACAGAAGGGUGCUUUGAGGUGGGAAUGACAUCUUCAGGAGUGUUGCUGGCCUUGACUCUGGCACAGUUCCAGUGAACUGAGAACUUGCAAGGAAGAAGAGGCUUCAGUGAGGUCAACUAGCUGAGUGAUUUUCUCUCAGAAAUGCUCUUUCUGUCUACUUGGAGGAAAAUAUUAAGUAAUGUACAAGGACAUGCUUCUUAGGAAAAACUACAGAUGAGUGAUAGAAGGUGGAGGCAGGAAGAUUGCAAGUUCAAGGCCAGCCUCAGCAACUAAGUGAGACCCUGAUCAAUUUAGUGAGACUUGGUCUCAAAAAAUUAAAAGGACUGAGGAUGUGGCCCAGUGGUAAAAUGCCUGUAGGUUCAAUCACCAGUACCAAAACCCCCAAAACUACAAAUGACUGGGAAAAGUUUAGAAUGAAAAAAUAUAAGUAUCUGUAGAUGUAUAUUAAAUUUAUGGACUAUAAGUUUGUAAAUAUGUAUUUACUUGUAUAUUGAUAAUUAACAAUAGGGAGAACAUAUAUGUAUAUUCCUGAAUAUGCCUGGGAUAUAAAUAAUCCUUUUGUUGAGUGUAUCCAUGCUGUAUAUGCUACCCACCCAUUACUCACUUAGUAGUUAAUGUAUAACUAUAUAGUAUAUUUAUCAUCAGGAUGAAUAUCACUUUAUACGUAUUUUUACUCUAAAAUUAUUUGUUUAUGCUAAUUAUUUAAUAUUUCCACUUAAUAGUGCACUAUAUCUGAGUUUUUUCUGUGUCAACAAAUGAAGAUUUACCACUGUCUUGUGUAGCAUUCCAGCCUGUGGGUAUACCUUAGUGUAAUUAGCCUUUCCUUUAUUCAUAAACAUUUAGGUCACUUCCAUUUGCCAUGAUAAGCAAUGCUGUAUUGAACUUCUUAGUAUUUAUGUAUCUUAGUAGAUGCAUGUGAGUUAAUUCCAUAUGUCAAAAUCUUGAAAUCCCUGGGUAGGUGGGGCAAAGUAAAGUGCAUGAACAUUUUAAAUUUUGGUAGCUCUUGACAAAAUUACCUAUCAAAAAAUGUGCUAAUGUCCUUUCCAAUCAAUAUCAUUUGAACAUGACAGUUCCAUAGACUCUUGCCAAGAUGAGAUAUUAUCAUCUUUUCCUCCCAUUCUAAUAGACAAAAAUACUGGUGUGAUUUUCCCCGAUUAGAAGACUUUCUUUUUCAUAUGUUUAUUGGAUAUUUGUACUUCUUUUGUAAAUAAAUAAUUAUUGUUGUGUUUUAAA